rnacentral:piRNA from 1 species
UGCAUUCAACAGCAACCCUCGAAGGCCUCCU